rnacentral:rRNA from 1 species
AACGAACGCUGGCGGCAGGCCUAACACAUGCAAGUCGAACGGACUCUUCGGAGUUAGUGGCGCACGGGUGCGGAACACGUGGGAACAUACCCUUUGGUAAGGAAUAAUAUCUGGAAACGGAUACUAAUACCUUAUAAUGACUUCGGUCCAAAGAUUUAUCGCCAAAGGAUUGGCCCGCGCAUGAUUAGUUUGUUGGUGAGGUAAUGGCUCACCAAGACUACGAUCAUUAGCUGGUCUGAGAGGACGAUCAGCCACACUGGAACUGAGACACGGUCCAGACUCCUACGGGAGGCAGCAGUGAGGAAUAUUGCACAAUGGGGGAAACCCUGAUGCAGCCAUGCCGCGUGUAUGAAGAAGGCCUUAGGGUUGUAAAGUACUUUCAAUAGUGAAGAUUAUGACGGUAGCUAUAGAAGAAGCCCCGGCUAAAUUCGUGCCAGCAGCCGCGGUAAUACGAAUGGGGCAAGCGUUGUUCGGAAUAACUGGGCUUAAAGCGUGCGCAGGCGGAUAUGAAAGUCAGAAGUGAAAUCCCAGGGCUCAACCCUGGAACUGCUUUUGAAACUUCAUAUCUAGAAUCCGGUAGAGGUCAAGAGAAUUCCUAGUGUAGAGGUGAAAUUCGCAGAUAUUAGGAGGAAUACCAGUGGCGUAGGCGCUUGACUGGACCGGUAUUGACGCUCAUGUACGAAAGCGUGGGGAGCAAACAGGAUAAGAUACCCUGGUAGUCCACGCCGUAAACGAUGUAUGCUAGUUGUUGGAGUCUUAAGGCUUCAGUGACGCAGAGAAAUCAUUAAGCAUACCGCCUGGGGAGUACGGUCGCAAGAUUAAAACUCAAAGGAAUUGACGGGGACCCGCACAAGCGGUGGAGCAUGUUGUUUAAUUCGAAGCAACGCGAAGAACCUUACCCACACUUAACAUCCUCUUGGGGCUUUCAGAGAUGAUCGCUUUCGGUUCGGCCGGGGAGUGAAUAGGUGCUGCAUGGCUGUCGUCAGCUCGUGUCGUGAGAUGUUAGGUUAAGUCCUGCAACGAGCGCAACCCUUAUCGUAUGUUGCCAUCAGGUUAUGCUGGGAACUCAUGCGAGACUGCCGGUGAUAAGCCGGAGGAAGGCGGGGACGACGUCAAGUCAUCAUGGCCCUUACGUGUGGGGCUACAAACGUGCUACAAUGGUAACGACAAUGGGCAGCCACUUCGCAAGAAGGCGCUAAUCUCCAAACGUUAUCUCAGUUCGGAUUGUUCUCUGCAACUCGAGAGCAUGAAGUUGGAAUCGCUAGUAAUCGUGCAUCAGCAUGUCACGGUGAAUACGUUCCCGGGUCUUGUACACACCGCCCGUCACGUCAUGGGAGUUGGUUCUACCCGAAGGCCGUGUGCUAACCAGUUUACUGGAGGCAGCGGACCACGGUAGGGUCAGCGACUGGGACG